rnacentral:lncRNA from 1 species
CACUCACUGAGUGCCACCAUGGAUCGGGGCUGUCCCCCCAUACUGCGUCAAAGAUCGAUGCUUCGAGCCCCCUGAGGCCAAGGUAUUUGGUGAAGCUCGAGCAAUGCCAGCUGAGGUGUCCCAUACACAUGGGCUGGGACCCAAGCCCAGCUGAAAUCACUGGGCUGGUCUGGGACAUCUGAGAAAUGUGGGUUGCUCCAAAACAAACAGGAAUUGGGAGCCCAUGGAAAGCACGAGAAGGGAAGAGGACACCAAGGUGGUGGUGAGAUGCCUUUGGUUCUGCAGGAUUUACCCGGAUUCCGUGGUGUGCCUGAACCCCUGGAUGUGUUCAUCCAAACGGAAGAACAGAGGGAAUAAAUCUGGAGUGUCCUCUAGUCUGGCUCUACUGAGUCAUCACUUAAUGACAUAUUUAAUCACAUAAAUGUUUUCCCUAGUCCUGCACAUGUCUGCUUGACAGCCCUGCCUCAAAGAGCCCUGGAGUUUUCCAGCCAGCUGGGCUCGGAGCAAGGACAGUGGAUACUUGACAGUGCACAUUGAGAGUGGCCUUCCCAGCCUCUUCAGUCAGUCCCAAACAAGAUUUGAAUACAAGCUGCUGUGGUUUUAAUUAGGUAAGCAGGGUCUGGGUAGCUUGCACGUGAUACCCAUAUAAAACAUCUUAUUUUCUCAUUCUCAGCAGUGAUUCCAACAAAGCUGCUUUGCUGCGGGAGAAAAGGGAAAUUCUCCAUGUCACCACAGCAUCCCAGGAUCCAGAAAUGAGGGGGAACCUAUUGCAAUACCAGCUCAGAUGUUUUUGGACUGAAGUUCAGCAGAAUGGUAGAAAAAAAAAAAGGUAUUUCUAUUUUCUG